UACGUAGGGGGCAAGCGUUUGUCCGGAUUUAUUGGGCGUAAAGAGCGUGUAGGCGGCUUGGUAGGUCCGCUGUGAAAACUCGAGGCUCAACCUCGAGAUGUCGGCGGAAACCACUUGGCUAGAGUCCGGAAGAGGAGAGUGGAAUUCCUGGUGUAGCGGUGAAAUGCGCAGAUAUCAGGAAGAACACCUAUGGCGAAGGCAGCUCUCUGGGACGGUACUGACGCUGAGACGCGAAAGCGUGGGGAGCGAACAGG
rnacentral:rRNA from 1 species